CACCUAAUUAUCACUGGCAUUUGAUAGUUUCAUUAGGAAAUUAGGAAAUCCAUAGGAAAACCAAACACUGCCCUCUUAUGCAUGUUCUUUUUCUUAUUAAAAUAAAAUGUAGAGUGAGCAAACAUUUAAUGAAUUCAGUGGUAUGCAAUCGAGAGACAUGUCUUAAGAGAAGUACCAUUUCUCAGUUGUUUUUCUUUAAGAUGGUUAGAAUUUGUCAGUUUUACUGUUUUUGCCUGACAAAUCCAGAAAAUUGCCUACAUUCUUCUUUUUCAGUCUUCAUAGGACUAAUGACUAAAAGGUAAUACAUAUUAGAAGGCAAACUUGUUCUACAUUGUCACAUAGAAACUCACACCAAAUGACAGGAUAAAAUGUAUUAAACACUCAAUUCCUGAAUUCACUGUUAACCUUGAAAUCUGUUGAUAAAAUAGCAAGUAAGUUCUAGUGGCAUUUAGCAUGCUGCAAGUAAAUAUAACAUUUAAACAUAGAACCUUUGCAGGGAAGGAUCUUGGGUGAUGAAAAUUUUAUCUCAGGGCAUGUUUCAUCCAUGGUAUCUAUAAUUUUGUCAUAUAUGGAAUUUUCUUUUUUAUAUUAGUGUAGAAAAGCCAUUGUGAGGGCUUGGAAGCUUUUUUUGGUGCCAGUGU
rnacentral:lncRNA from 1 species